UGUUUAUGAUGAUUUAGCUUUGGUCCGUGUUUCUGAUAAACUGAUUAUACAUAAGCUUUUUUCUGAGAGU
rnacentral:snoRNA from 1 species